rnacentral:tRNA from 1 species
GGGCCCGUGGCUUAGCCUGGAUAUAGCACUGGCCUUCUAAGCCAGUGGUCUCGGGUUCGAAUCCCGACGGGCCCGCCA